GUCCACUAUGCCAAGGUGAUCACUGGAAGGCACACUGCCCCAGAGGACAAAGGUUCUCUGGGCCAGAAGCUCCCAAUCAGAUGAUCCAACGACAGGACUGAGGGUUCCCGAGCUCAUGUCAUCACCCUCACUGAGCCGUGGGAUCAAGGCCAUCAAGCUACAGAUGUUCCUACGAAUGGAACCCCAAAUGAGCUCAACUCACAACUUCUACCAAGAACCCCUGGACCAACCCACUGGCCCUUUGACUGGCCUAGAGAGUUCCCCUCUGGAGGACACUACAACUGCAGGGCCCCUUCUUCAUCCCUAUCCAGCAGAAAGUAGCUAGAGCAGUCAUCACCCAAUUCCCAACAGCAGUUGGGGUGUCCUGUUUAGAGGGGGGAUUGAGAGGUGAAGCCAGCUGGACUUCCUGGGUCAAGUGGGGGCUUGGAGAUCUUUUCUGUCUUAGAAGGAGAUUGUAAAAGUCACCAAUCAGUGCUCUGUAAAAAUGCACCAAUCAGUGCUCUGUAACUAGCAAGAGAAUUGAAAAAUGCACAAUCAGCGCUCUGUAAAAUGCACCAAACAUCAGGAUCCCAAAAGUAGCCAAUCUCAGGGAGGAUUGAAAAAAGGGCACUCUGACAGGACAAAAACAGAACAUAGGAGGGGACAAAUAAGGGAAUAAAAGCUGGCUACCCCAGCCAGCAGAGGCAACCUGCUUGCAUCCCCUUCCACACUGUGGAAGCUUUGUUCUUUCGCUCUUCACAAUAAACCUUGCUACUGCUCACUCUUUGGGCCCGUGCCACCUUUAAGAGCUGUAACACUCACUGCAAAGGUCUGCGGCUUCAUUCUUCAUUCACUGGAAGCAACCAACUUGGGACACACCACCA
rnacentral:lncRNA from 1 species